UCUUCAUUUCCCACACUCUCUCGCCGGUCAGAGAGGCGAGAGAGUGUGGGAAAUGAAGAGA
rfam:Pristionchus pacificus strain PS312 contig5529, whole genome shotgun sequence.